AUUGAACGCUGGCGGCGUGCCUAACACAUGCAAGUCGAGCGGUAACAGGUGUAGCAAUACAUGCUGACGAGCGGCGGACGGGUGAGUAACGCUUGGGAAUCUGCCUAUUAGUGGGGGACAACCCGGGGAAACUCGGGCUAAUACCGCAUACGCUCUACGGAGGAAAGCCGGGGACCGCAAGGCCUGGCGCUAAUAGAUGAGCCCAAGUCGGAUUAGCUAGUUGGUAGGGUAACGGCCACCAAGGCUACGAUCCGUAACUGGUCUGAGAGGACGACCAGUCACACCGGAACUGAGACACGGUCCGGACUCC
rnacentral:rRNA from 1 species